CUGCACAUUGGAACAGUGGGGGGAUUCCACUGGUCCUUGGACUGCACUUUGAGGAGCACUGUUGGGAUGAUCUUUAAUUAGUAGACAGUCCUGGCAUAUUUUUUUUUUUUCCAGGAACAGACACCCCUUCAGCCUGCCUCAGUCUACGGGAGCUUACUGGGCAAUAGGAGAGAGACAUGUCACAGGACGAUCUGGCAACAGUGACCUUUCAGAGAAGGAACCAUAGAGGAGAACAGCUGGAACUGGAGACUCUGGCUGAGUGGUUUUUCUUCAUCCUUCUGCUGAGAAGAAAGGCUGUGGACUGACUUUCUCUGCAAAGAGCAAUGUAGGCAUUUCAGCAGCACCUAAUCUCUAUUUUCCCUUGAUCUGUUCCACUUUUAUAAUAAUCUUUAAAAAUGAAUAUAAGCAUUUUCUGAGUUAUGAUGAUUCUCUUAAAAAUUGAACAUGGCCCCCUAGUUUUUCUGCAUGGGUUUGUUUCUUUUUGUGAUCACAUUCCUGCCAAGUGAAGGCCAGAUAAUGCCUCCAAAUCAUCUAUAGACGGAGAUUUUCUGCUAGUUCAGGAGAGUAAAAGGACUGGGAGAAUUUUCAUCACUACCAUGUGACAGAGAAAAAUAGAAACGUCAAACUUGAAAGAAUCUGUGCAUGUCAGUGAGUACAGCAUUUGUAUGGUACUCAUAUUUUAAGUGUUUUCCUUGUAUGCUUUGUUCAAACUAACUUAUUACAGUUCAACAGCAGAAAAUAAGUCAAUAUGCAACAAUACUUCCCAAUUUGCUUAAAAGAAUUUUUAAAAAUUAUAGUUUUUUAUUUGGGAGGGAUGCACCCUUACAUUGAUUGACCCAUCCAAGAAUAAAUCUGGAGUUAAAUAAGCUCCA
rnacentral:lncRNA from 12 species